rnacentral:rRNA from 1 species
UACAGAGGGUGCAAGCGUUAAUCGGAAUUACUGGGCGUAAAGCGUGCGUAGACGGUGAUGUAAGUCGGGUGUGAAAGCCCCGGGCUCAACCUGGGAAUGGCAUUCGAGACUGCAUCGCUAGGGUGCGGAAGAGGGAAGCGGAAUUUCCGGUGUAGCGGUGAAAUGCGUAGAUAUCGGAAGGAACAUCAGUGGCGAAAGCGGCUUCCUGGUCCAGCACCGACGUUCAGGCACGAAAGCGUGGGGAGCAAACAGG